AUUGAACGCUGGCGGAAUGCUUUACACAUGCAAGUCGAGCGGCAGCGCGGGGCAACCUGGCGGCGAGCGGCGAACGGGUGAGUAAUACAUCGGAACGUGCCCAGACGUGGGGGAUAACUACUCGAAAGAGUGGCUAAUACCGCAUACGAUCUGAGGAUGAAAGCGGGGGAUCGCAAGACCUCGCGCGUCUGGAGCGGCCGAUGGCAGAUUAGGUAGUUGGUGAGGUAAAGGACUUACCAAGCCUGCGAUCUGUAGCUGGUCUGAGAGGAUGAUCAGCCACACUGGGACUGAGACACGGCCCAGACUCCUACGGGAGGCAGCAGUGGGGAAUUUUGGACAAUGGGCGAAAGCCUGAUCCAGCCAUUCCGCGUGCAGGAUGAAGGCCCUCGGGUUGUAAACUGCUUUUGUACGGAACGAAAAAGCUCCGGCUAAUACCUGGAGUCCAUGACGGUACCGUAAGAAUAAG
rnacentral:rRNA from 1 species